UUCCUUUCGAGUUGUGGUGCAGCUCUGGUCGGAGUUGUGUGUUUUGUGCUGGGGUGCGUUUCGGUUCUGUAGGCUUUGGACAUUGGCUUUCAAGUAAUUGAGGUCACUUUAAGCUGUCAUUACUGCUUAGCCCCAGUUGUUUAGACUAGGGAUGUCUACUGUAGCAGUUCUAUUCUGCCUGAUAGUGAGUGUAAGGUGUUGCACUUGUACUGUGUUAACUUUGGCUUUUCAAGGUCUCCCAUGUACAGGAGGCACAUACCUGUCAUCAUACUGACCUGACACAUAUACCACUGAUGUACAGAUAGGAAGAGACAUACAUGGAGAUCCGUUGCUUUAGAGUCCAGGGCCCAGACACACUUAAUCGGCAUUGUAACACAAGUGCGUAGGUGUCGGGCGAAUGCGAAGGAGUAACCUGUGUGUCAGCUGUUAAUAGUUGUUCGUAGUGGGAGUUGAACUUGUAAUGUUAAAUGUGUUGUGGGUCCUAACCGUGUGGGGAGAGAACUCCCUGGGGUUCAUUGUCUCGCUGCAUAGGAACUAGACAACACACGUAAAGUUUGCUGCAGUUUAUUUCCUCGAGCAAUGACCACUGAGCCUGGCAAGUUGCAAAAUGUCCACCCUGAAAGGGUGGGGCGGUCUUUUCGACUGUUUACAACAAGGCAACGCUAUAGGGUUAACAGAAGCUAUACUUGGGCAGUGCUUCACACAUCCUCAUAACAGCAUAGUUCUAUUAAGCUGAACUAGGACUUUUAAAAAGCUAACAGUUCAGUAAGAGUAACAUUACAAUAGCCUAGCAAGACCUUGCAGCGGUAGAUACUUCUUAAGGACACGAUCACUGUACUUAGAACAAUGGCUUUGCUUGUCUUAUCCUGUUCCUUGUUGUAGCUUAUGUUACAGCACACAGACACAGAUCCACUUGCUGCAUUUAACUCAGAAACUGGGUAACAUAGUUAAAAGGAUUACUUGACGCAAGUGAAGGCUUAGCUAUCUUUCUGCCUUGUGGUCAGUGGCAUUGCUAGGCCGCAGGUCAUGCCUUGCAUUGAGCUGCAAAGCUCAUACUUCUUAAUAAUCGAAAUCAUUGUUAACCUAACAGUAUGCUAUCAGAAAACUAUUCUGUUUCAGUCCAAUAACAAACAUGCUCACUACAAACCCUAGCAUUUGGUGUAAGCCUAACUGGGUAUGGAUUCAUUUGUGGACUUGUUCCCUCAUUGUAGCACCAGCGUAAUGCUAAGUUGACCUGGAUUCAUUUGUGGGCCUGUGCUGUACCCAUAGGUCUUUGUAUAGGAGGAGAAGAAAACCCCUGGCCUUAAUAUGUUUGUAAGGAGUGCUUCGUUGAAUUUCCCAUACCUACUGAGCUCACCUACGAUGUUAGUCGGUCCACCCAUAAAUUUCCCAGGUGUGCACUUUGCGGUGUGUGCAGGUGCUAGGUAGCAACUAGUUGUCUAUUGUACUUGUUAUCUCUUUUGUCAUGUGACCGGCAAUUGAAACCAACAUAUAAAAGGUUUGCUUUGAUUGCGUGCCGUGGACAGGCCCAGUGCCUCCCUCCUGCAGCUGGUUGUACAGAAAGGUGCCUGACCACGUCGUGAUGAAAUCACAGAGCGAUGCUUCUUUCUUCCGCGGCAUUACCACUUGUUGGACUUGGAUUCAUUUCCGAUUCUGUUCCCUCACCCUACCACUUGGCAUCAGUCUAAGUGGUCCCGGAUUAGUUUGUGCACCUGUUCCCUCACCCUAGCACUCGGCGUAACCGAUGCUGGGCCCGGAUUCAUUUCUGACUCCGAUCCCUAAUCCUAGCACUUGGACUCACCCUAACUAAGUGGUUUGGCAUUUGUUUCAAAAUCUGUUUCCUAACCCUAACCGUUGCCCUAGCCAUCACGGGACUUUGAUUCAUUUGUGGACCCGUUCUGUCCCAGUAGCACUCGGCCUAACCGUCCCUGGCCCUGGAUUCCUUCCUGAAUCUAUUCCCUAACCCUACCAGUCGGACUAACCCUAACUGUCCCCGGAUUCUUUUUUGAAUCCGUUCUCCAAUCCUAGCACUUGGCGUAACCCUAAGUGGAGUUUGAUUCCUUUUUGAAUAUGUUUCCUAAUCCUAGCAACUGCUGUACCCCUAACGGGACCCAGAUUUGUUUGUGGACCCGUUUUGUCCCCACUACCACUCGGCGUAACCCUCACUGGGGCUGGAUUCAUUUGUGAAUGUGUUCCAUAACUGUAGCGCUUGGCGUAACCUUAACGGGGCCUGGAUUCAGCUUGGAGCGCAUUCCCUAAGCUUGGCACUCCAAAUAACAAUAAGUGGACUCAGAUUCGUUUUGGAAUCCGUUCCCUAACCCUAGCACUUUGCCUAACCCUAACCGACCCCGGAUUUGUUGUUGAAUCUGUUCGCUAACCGUACCAGUUGUCGUAACGCUAACUCGAUCUGGAUGUGUUUCUGAAUACCUUCCCUACCCGUACCACUUGCUGUAACUAUAACUGGGCCUGGAUUUGUUGGCGGUUAUGUUCCCUAACCCUAGCACUUGGUGUAACCGUCGCUGGGGCGGGAUUCUUUUCUGAAUAUGUUUCCUAAGCAUAGCCCUUGUAGUAAGCCUUGCUGGACUGGGAUUAAUUUCAGAUUAUGUUCCCUAACCCUAGUCCUUGGCCUAACAGUUAAUGGACUCAGCUUCACUUGUGGACCUGUUCUGUCUCUAGCAUUUGGCCUAACCUUAACUGGUGCUGGAUUCAUUUGUGGACCUGUUCCCUAACUGUAGCACUUGGUGCAAGCCUAACAAACCCUGUAUUUGUUUAUGAGUCCGUUCCCUAACCCUAGCGGUCAGCGUAAGCGUAACUAGCCCCUGAUUCUUUUCUGCAUCUGUGUUGUACCUGUCGGAUUUAGUGUAACCUUAAGCGUACUUGGAUUCAUUUAUCAAUCUGUUCCCUAACCCUGGCCCUUGGCCUUUCCUUGGAUUCUGAAAUCUCUACAGGGGUUAUUGCUGGAGGAUUGUCUGUGUGCGGCUCAGGAAACCAGCUCAAGCUCAUGUGUCCCGAUCGUCUGAAAUAAUUUGUAGGCUGCUUGCCUUGUUUGUAUGUAUGAAAAUGGUUUAAAAUUACAGGGGUAACAAGACAGUCUACAGUAAAGCAUAUCGAAAGCUGGGGAAUAGUGUGGGUGUUUUGUCUGGUAUUGCUGACCAAGGCUGGGACUGAAUAUUUUUGAGCGUUGUGUUUUAGUGCUAACGUUCCUGUUUGUGAAAGAAUAAUGAGUCGCUGACCUGGUCUGAGAUGAAGGUUGGAUCUAGCCGCGCCACGGCUGUCUAGAAAGGCAGAGUUGGGAGCAAGGGGGCCCAGCUGGAACCUUGUGACCCAGUGGACAGCUUGAUCCUCUCCGCAUCCAUGGUAAUUGUGCAGGUGCGAGAAGAUUUACGUUCACCACCAGAUGUUUCCUGUCAAUCUCAUACCAGGUGAUUGGAUUUAUGUAAAGGUCCAUCAUUGGAAAAAUGUGCUUCAACUGACAUGGAAUGGACUGUUGCAGGUGCUCUGGACCAGUAACACUGCCGUUUGUUGCCAAGGUCUCUAGACAUGGACCUGCACUGGAAAAAGGUAUCACCUCUAUUGGACCCUGAAACAGUUGCAUUGCUACCUGGGCUAAGACCUUUCCCUGAGGCCAAGGACAAAGAGCAUCAAUAUCUUAGUAUGGAAAAUGAGGAGUAUCAGGGUGCAAGUGCUAGUAACCUCUCCCCUGAACCCAGCACUGCAGCCUGGCCAGAUUUACCAGUUGGUGAUCGAAGAUAUUAUCUCUGAGCCCAACGAAUAAUCUCCAGACUUUAUACGUGUAUAUCCCAGAUGGUUGUAGCGCUAUUGAGCAUGUGGCUGAAAGUAUAGAGGAAGAAGUUGCUAAAGUUUAUGAAACUGAUGAAUGGAGUGUGUGCACCUGUUUUGUCACAUUUGGGGCCAAAGGAUUUUGUAGUGCAAUCAUGGUCCUGGAGUUUAUUCUA